AAGCAGGAGCUCGUAACAGGAACUGCCAGGCAGCAGUAAUUGCAAGCACUGCUACCAGCUCUAUCUGCAAUGUGCAGCGCCCAGAAAAGGAGGGAAGUGCAUAAAUGGAUGUAUUUUGGGAGCUUUGCCACUCCUUGUCUUCUCAUCAACUUGAAGGUCCCCCUUUGGCAAGGAGCCAUUUCUGCCUGCGUUGCACCAGCCUGAGCAGGGUCCUGCUGCCAGAACGCCGGUGCUGUCACCUCCUCCCUGAGUCUCUCAGCCAGAGGACCAUUCUCCCAAUUCGCUGUUAAUCCUGUGCUCCUCUCCUCCCUCUGGCUGCCCCAACAGCAUCACCCCCUGCAUUUUAUUUUACCUGCUGAACAUACAGAAUGAGGAUGAGAUGGCUGAACUGCUGCAAUGUGAAAAGCAGCUGCUGUGGCUGAUGUUUAGAGGUGUGUUACAGAGGCACCAUUAAAGCCAGACAUUUUAAUGUUGUGGAAGACAGCAAACUGGAGAAUGCAUCAGAGAAGGAUGACAGCAUGGGGAGACUGACAUUCAGCAGGACUUUGACAGAAGACUUCUGGACUCGCAGCAGCAUCAGGUACUUCAAGGGCUGGAUGUGCACUUGGGGUGAUAGUGCACUCAUGCUGCCAGGUCACUGCAUUCCACCUGCAGAAAUUUGCUCUCUCACCUUUGCUACUGCAGUCAACAUUACCAUGAGGUUUAUGCUCAUAAACUCUGGUAAUGUGGCAGCAGCACUUUUAUUAGCACUUUGACCUCUGUGGUUUCCUUUGGUUGAGGACAGCUUUAUCUGAACAAUGCCUUCUUCCCCCCUCUCCAGAGCUAGGAGUCUGCAAAGCCGAGGGUCUUGUUUCACCCACCCACUCACUGGUUUUCAGGUCAAGAUCUUUGAAGGUUGCUGCAGUUGGUGAAAGGGCUGGAAUAAGGAACAGUCCCAGUCAUAUGCCAGAGCCUGAGAACCAAAGCCCAAAUUUAGCUUGGGCAGGGCU